rnacentral:rRNA from 1 species
AUUGAACGCUGGCGGCAGGCCUAACACAUGCAAGUCGAACGGUAACAGGAAGACUCUUGCUUCUUUGCUGACGAGUGGCGGACGGGUGAGUAAUGUCUGGGAAACUGCCUGAUGGAGGGGGAUAACUACUGGAAACGGUAGCUAAUACCGCAUAACGUCGCAAGACCAAAGAGGGGGACCUUCGGGCCUCUUGCCAUCGGAUGUGCCCAGAUGGGAUUAGCUAGUAGGUGGGGUAACGGCUCACCUAGGCGACGAUCCCUAGCUGGUCUGAGAGGAUGACCAGCCACACUGGAACUGAGACACGGUCCAGACUCCUACGGGAGGCAGCAGUGGGGAAUAUUGCACAAUGGGCGCAAGCCUGAUGCAGCCAUGCCGCGUGUAUGAAGAAGGCCUUCGGGUUGUAAAGUACUUUCAGCGGGGAGGAAGGGAGUAAAGUUAAUACCUUUACUCAUUGACGUUACCCGCAGAAGAAGCACCGGCUAACUCCGUG